rnacentral:tRNA from 1 species
CUGCGAGUAGCUCAGCCUGGUCAGAGUCCCCGGCCUGGAACCGGGUGGCCGCACGUUCGAAUCGUGCCUCGCAGACCA